UCAUAGACAUAAAUCCAAUACUAAUUUACCAGAGUACUAUGAAUCACGCAUAAAAUUUAAAACUCAAAGGACUUGGCGGUGUUUUAGACCCCUUAGGGGAACCUGUCUCAUAAUCGAUAAUCCACGUUAUACCUGAUCUCCUUUCGUCCUCAGUUUGUAUAUCGUCGCCGUCAGGUAACUUUUAAGGUAAUAUAAGUUAGCAACAAAAUUUAGGAUUAAAACGUCAGAUCAAAAUACAGCUUAUAAGGAGAGGAAGAUGGGUUACAAUUCUUAAAGUUAUAAUUACGGAUAAAUAAAUGAAAAAUUUAUCUAUGAAGGAGGACUUAAAAGUAAAGUAAAUUAGAUAAACAACUUGAAUAAGGCUCUGAAACGUGC
rnacentral:rRNA from 1 species